GUAGAAUACGUCUUAUUGUGUGUUCCACCCUUUGAGCCGUGCUUUUUAUUGAACGAUGAUAAUGACCAUGGGUUCACUAUUAUUAGAGGAAGAAAAUAAAACCGUGAGCCAGAAAGCUCACGACACCCAUACAAAUGAAGACAAGAAUGUCUCUUCUUCAUUCCUGUCAUUUUGCUAAUGAGCUUUUGAGCAUCAGUGAUAAAGGAUAUAAUUUCUAGAUAUGUGCCACAAG